ensembl:lncRNA
AAAUGAACAAGUUCACUGUCAGAGUAGGAAAUGUUAAUAUACCUCUUUCAGUAAUUUUUAAAGAUAAAACCAUCAGUAAUGGUUUGGAAGAUUUGGACAAACACAGCAAGAUCGAUCUAAUAAUCCCACCAUGUAUAUUUAGCUUUUUUCUUCCCACAGCUCCCAUAACACAAAUCCUAUACUUCAAGAUCUUGGCUCUGUUGCUGCCUCCACAAGAAAAUACAGAGUUCUACCCUCUUGCCUUGGCCCACAUAGCUCUCCAGCCUCCAAAGGGACAGAGUAUCUUGACAUAAUUUGUGGAAGCAGCAGAGCAGAAGCCUCCAAGAUCUAAAGCCUGUCGAUGCCGCAGUUAAACCCACAGAUCCUGGCCACUUUCACCCUCCAGAUCAGAGCCUUUCCUGAACCUUCUGAACCAAUGUGAGAGAACAAACUGGAAGGUCUCAUCUCUCCUGGGCAGUGCUGGGUGUUUGCUGUUGGCAAUCACAUCUCUGUCGCAGACUCUCCUUGGAGCCGGCAGAAAGUCCCAUGGGCACCCUGCUUCUCCACUUUUGCCCCUGGGGCCAGGUAGAAAGUGGGAUCCUGGGGUCUCACCACGAUCUUCCUGCAUUGUCUGCUCUUUGAGACAGUCUAUUUCCUAGAGUAUUUCCUAAAUGUGUGCAAGCGGUGGUUUAUACUCCUCCCUUUGGCAUUCAAUCCACAGUCUCCACAAGUCUCCAAGUCUCCACCUUGCUUUCUCACUUCGUUUUCCGCAGUCCUGGCGGGUGUGAGGCUGGGAGGCCAGAUUUGAUGGUGACAGACCCUCCCACCAGUUCCAGCAUUCCACUUGUAUCCUUCCCGUCCUGCCAAGGACUAAUGCCACCGUCUUUAAAAUCUAUAUUGGCUGAUAUGAGAGUCCAUAUUUCCCACUCUGCCAGCGUCUUCUGUAGGAAAUAUUCUGUGGAAUCAUACUGAUGAGCCUUCACAUCAUAGCACAGUUCUAGAUUUCUGCUAAGCCAUUAUCCACACAGCAGAUUUCAGUGCUUGAUGUUCCUUGUCAUGGAAGGAUAUGCUGAGUACACCAGCAGCUCAGGCUGAAUCUGCCCAUCACUUGUCUACCGCAGUACAGCGGUCCUGGCUUAUUUCACGUGAUGUAGCCACUCCCCGUACUACAUUUCAGCAAUGCCACCCCCUUCCAUGUUCGUAAGGUAUAAUUCAAGAAUAAACUCAAAUGUACUCAUAGGUGAUCGUACA